GGAGGAGAAAAGCAAGGCAAUCACGGAGAAAUAAGAAGAAGAAGAGAAAAGAGGAAGUACGGGGAAGAAGAGAGAGAUGAAAAGAGGAAAAAGAAGGAAAACAGAAGGGAGACGAGUGCGACUAGUUGAAAAAGAAAGAAGAACGAGAAGUAGAAAGGGGGAGACAGAGAGGGAAUGAGAAGAGAUAAUUGGAGAGUCUGGGGCUCUCCUCAAAGGCUGCGAUUGGGUAUUUCUAGAUUGGAGGAAAGAGUAAAGCUAUAGAAUUGUGUGAGUUUCGAUUUGGGUGUUAGAAGAAGAAGGAGAUGAACGAAGAAGAAUGGGAGUUUGAUUCUGCUGCUCGUGAAACUGAACUGUGGAAGGCAAAGGGAGGAAGAUUUCAGAAGUGAAGGGUUUCCAUUCGGGCUGUUUAGUAUCUAUGGUUGUUUUGCUUUAUGUCAUAUUAGAUAUCUAUUGAGAAGAGUUUGGGCUGAGUAUAGUUGAGAGCAGGAUUUCUUUAUCGUUUUCUUUUUGUAAAAACAAAACAUUAUUGAUUUGGAUUGUAUUUACUAUUUGGAGUACUUUUUGUGGUUUGGUUGGUAAUCUUGUUACCAUAAACUUCUUACUUGCUUUAUUAGUAGUUAAUGAUGUUUUGGUUCAAGUUUUAGGCCGGGUCGUUACACUUGCAGUUCAACCUGCAUAGGAGAGUUCUAAUAAACUGGGAAUCUUGCAUACGCAGUAAUCAAUUAUCA